GUUCCUAGUGUUCACCACACCUUGUGGAGGGGCGGCUGGGAAGGAGGCUUCUGCCCUGGGCCAGGAGGUGGGAACAGCUGUCCGAGGUUGUAUGGGCAUUGUUCAUCUCAUGCUGGGGCUUGUGGCUCAGAGUACAUGCCAGAAAGGAUUGGUGACAUGUCACUGCUGUCUCUCUUUUCCAGGUCCCUUGGAAAGACCAGAUAAGCCAGAUGUGCCCAGAUUGUGGAUCUGUUAAUCUUCAAGCAGAGAGGAGCGGUGGCACACAGCUGAGAACCAGGUGUCAAGGUUCUUGAAAAGCAGCAUCAAGAACAGUACAUCUUCCAUCCGUGUCCUCAGCUGCUCUGUCAGAGCAAAGGACCUCCACAGGAAAAGUUUCUGCAGCACAGAGAGAGAAGAGUGGAAACACACCUCCAGUGACCCUCCUGGCAGGUCCCCCUCUUCUUACACCUAGGAUCUGCAAAGGCUGUGUGCCGUAUCUGUUGGAAUCUGAGUCACAUAGUGCCAGGGAAGAACAGAAGGAAGUCCUUCAAAAUCCAGGAACUUAUAUCUAAAGAAUGUGUAUCUUCAGUGAUCAUCGGAACAGCUUCUUGGCCUGGAGGAAUCCUGCUUUUCUAACAGAGCUCCAACACAACUCUGUCAGCACCAAAAACCUGGAUGGAGAUAGGUGUCCUGGAAGGCUCUCUGACCUGUAAGGGUGCUUCAAAGCAGCGAGACACUUGCAGUUGUAAACCUGGUGCAUGUUUCAAAAGCCCAGAAACUGAGUGCUGGACUCUAAAAAUUCCAGGCUUCUUGCUUCGUACAGACUCAGCGCAGCGGGACUGUUCUUAGCACAGUGGGACUUCUAGGUAGGUAAUGCUACUUGAUGCUGAAGUGGCCAUGGAGUACUUGUAAUCAUUGCCUCAAGGCAUGCUCACUUGCUCUCUGUUUUCCUCCUGAAGUGC
rnacentral:lncRNA from 1 species